UGAGGAAUAUUGGUCAAUGGCCGGGAAGGCUGAACCAGCCAAGGCCGCGUGAAGGACGAAGGUGCCAAGCAUUGUAAACUUCUUUGUCAAGGGACAAAAUCAGGCUCGAGAGCCUGACCGAGGGUACUUGAAGAAAAAGCAUCGGCUAACUCCGUGCC
rnacentral:rRNA from 1 species